AUUGAACGCUGGCGGCAGGCCUAACACAUGCAAGUCGAGCGGAGAUGAGGUGCUUGCACCUUAUCUUAGCGGCGGACGGGUGAGUAAUGCUUAGGAAUCUGCCUAUUAGUGGGGGACAACAUUCCGAAAGGAAUGCUAAUACCGCAUACGUCCUACGGGAGAAAGCAGGGGAUCUUCGGACCUUGCGCUAAUAGAUGAGCCUAAGUCGGAUUAGCUAGUUGGCGGGGUACAGGCCUACCAAGGCGACGAUCUGUAGCGGGUCGGAGAGGAUGGUCGGAGACACUGGGACGGAGCCACGGCCCAGACUCGUACGGGAGGCAGCAGUGGGGGAUAUUGGACAAUGGGGGGAACCCUGAUCCAGCCAUGCCGGGUGUGUGAAGAAGGCCUUAUGGUUGUAAAGCACUUUAAGCGAGGAGGAGGCUACCGAGACUAAUACUCUUGGAUAGUGGACGUUACUCGCAGAAUAAGCACCGGCUAACUCUGUGCCAGCAGCCGCCGUAACAC
rnacentral:rRNA from 1 species